AUCUAGCUCACGAGUCCCAAAUAGGACAAAACGUUCAUCCUAGAU
rnacentral:hammerhead_ribozyme from 1 species